AUUGAACGCUGGCGGCAGGCCUAACACAUGCAAGUCGAGCGGAUGAAGAGAGCUUGCUCUCUGAUUCAGCGGCGGACGGGUGAGUAAUGCCUAGGAAUCUGCCUGGUAGUGGGGGACAACGUUUCGAAAGGAACGCUAAUACCGCAUACGUCCUACGGGAGAAAGCAGGGGACCUUCGGGCCUUGCGCUAUCAGAUGAGCCUAGGUCGGAUUAGCUAGUUGGUGAGGUAAUGGCUCACCAAGGCGACGAUCCGUAACUGGUCUGAGAGGAUGAUCAGUCACACUGGAACUGAGACACGGUCCAGACUCCUACGGGAGGAAGCAGUGGGGAAUAUUGGACAAUGGGCGAAAGCCUGAUCCAGCCGUGCCGCGUGUGUGAAGAAGGUCUUCGGAUUGUAAAGCACUUUAAGUUGGGAGGAAGGGCAGUAAGUUAAUACCUUGCUGUUUUGACGUUACCGACAGAAUAAGCACCGGCUAACUCUGUGCCAGCAGCCGCCGUAACAC
rnacentral:rRNA from 1 species